GGAUAAGUCAGUUGAUGACAUGAUGUGAAUAUACAUUCAAUGUACACAAACAUGAUCCAUCUGAAUGCAACUAUGGAUUAUUGAAUCUAUUAAAAAAAGCAUAUUUACUUGGCCACUGCUGGUGUUGGGAUUUAUCUUGAUACAUGUUUCUUCUCACAUGGUAGUCUUGAGGAGAAGCUCUCACUUCUUGAAGAUGAGAAUCAUGUCCUUCGA
rnacentral:misc_RNA from 1 species